rnacentral:rRNA from 1 species
AUGGCAUCUGUUAGGAAGUUGGUUCGGGAAAUCUCAGACCAUAAUCCUUUACUUCUCUCUAAUGGAGAAGAGGGGCGUGAAGCUCCUAAGCCUCGUGAAUUUCGUUUCAACCUAUCUUGGAUUAAAGAUAAAGAUUUCCUUCCUACUGUGAGUAGGAUCUGGUCGAGGAAAGUGCACUCCUCGGACCCUAUUGAUAUCCUAAAUAUCAAACUUAAGAGGUUUAAGAAUUACUUUAAAGGGUGGGGGUCCAAUAAGUAUGGUCAUGACAAGAGAAGGAAAGAAGAGCUCAGGUUGGAGUUAGCCUUGUUGGAAGAAUUGGAAGAAAAUGGCCCCCUGUCCCCUGAAAUGUACAGCACCAAAGUGGAUAUUAGUAUGGAACUGCAUGAGCUUUUGGUGAACGAAGAGAUCUUUUGGUUGCAGCAAUCUCAUGAAAGAUGGCUGCUGAAAGGGGAUCUCAAUACUGACUACUAUCAUAAGAUUGCGAACGGGCGUAAAAGGAAAAACACGAUCCAUUCCCUGAAAGCUGGGGAUGUGGAAAUAGAAGGGACUAGUAAUCUGAUUGCUCAUGCAACAGAGUACUACAAAAACCUUUUCGGACCUGCACCCGGCAAUGAGUUCCAUAUGGAUCCUGACACUUGGACCACUAAUGAAAAACUUAAUGAGGAGAAUAAUGCUGAUUUGUGUCGGGCCUUUACGGAGACUGAAGUUAAGGAAGCUCUGUUUGCUAUGGCACACAAUAGAGCGCCCGGGCCGGACAAUGUUCCUGUGGAAUUCUAUCAGGUGUGUUGGGAUAUCGUGAAGGGUGAUAUUAUGCUCCUGUUUGAACACUUUCAUAAAGGGGGAUUGGACGUACAGCGCCUCAAUUAUGGAGUAGAUGAUUUUUCAUAUAAAAAACUUUUUCAUCCGAGUUAG